AAGUUUGUAAGUUUGAGGGAUCAUUUUUAUGGUUCGUCUCUAGAGCAGUUUCUCUGUGUAGAGCACCCAAGACCAUGAGGACCAGACACAGCGUUCCCUCCUGAGCGUGCAGCCGGCUAUAGGUGCUGCUCCCUGCUGUGCCUCCUCCUCUUCCACUGAUGGUCAUUCUUACCUUCCCUUGGGAGAGGGAGAGGGAGGGAAUGCAGUGUGUGUGUGGG